rnacentral:rRNA from 1 species
GACGAACGCUGGCGGCGUGCUUAACACAUGCAAGUCGAACGGAAAGGCCCUGCUUUUGUGGGGUGCUCGAGUGGCGAACGGGUGAGUAACACGUGAGUAACCUGCCCUUGACUUUGGGAUAACUUCAGGAAACUGGGGCUAAUACCGGAUAGGAGCUCCUGCUGCAUGGUGGGGGUUGGAAAGUUUCGGCGGUUGGGGAUGGACUGGCGGCUUAUCAGCUUGUUGGUGGGGGAGUGGCUUACCAAGGGUUUGACGGGGAGCCGGCCUGAGAGGGUGACCGGCCACAUUGGGACUGAGAUACGGCCCAGACUCCUACGGGAGGCAGCAGUGGGGAAUAUUGCACAAUGGGCGGAAGCCUGAUGCAGCAACGCCGCGUGCGGGAUGACGGCCUUCGGGUUGUAAACCGCUUUCGCCUGUGACGAAGCGUGAGUGACGGUAAUGGGUAAAGAAGCACCGGCUAACUACGUG